rnacentral:rRNA from 1 species
UGAGGAAUAUUGGUCAAUGGGGGCAACCCUGAACCAGCCAAGUCGCGUGAAGGAUGAAGGUCUUAUGGAUUGUAAACUUCUUUUAUACAGGAAUAAAUUGGGGGACGUGUCCCCUUUUGCAUGUACUGUAUGAAUAAGGAUCGGCUAACUCUGUGCCAGCAGCCGCGGUAAUACGGAGGAUCCGAGCGUUAUCCGGAUUUAGUGGGUUUAAAGGGUGCGCAGGCGGGAUGUUAAGUCGGCGGUGAAAUUUUGCAGCUCAACUGUAAAAGUGCCUUCGAUACUGGCUUCCUUGAGUGUGGAUGAAGUAGGCGGAAUUUGUGGUGUAGCGGUGAAAUGCUUAGAUAUCACGAGGAACUCCGAUUGCGCAGGCAGCUUACUAAGCCACAACUGACGCUCAUGCACGAAGGCGUGGGGAUCAAACA